rnacentral:rRNA from 1 species
UACAGAGGUCUCAAGCGUUGUUCGGAUUCAUUGGGCGUAAAGGGUGCGUAGGUGGCGCGGUAAGUCGGGUGUGAAAUCUCGGAGCUUAGCUCCGAAAUUGCAUUCGAUACUGCCGUGCUCGAGGACUGGAGAGGAGACUGGAAUUCAUGGUGUAGCAGUGAAAUGCGUAGAGAUCAUGAGGAAGACCAGUGGCGAAGGCGGGUCUCUGGACAGUUCCUGACACUGAGGCACGAAGGCCAGGGGAGCAAACGGG